AUGGGAGCAUAGUAAGUAGAAUUUUUUUAAAAAGAUAAUUAUAACUUAUAUAGCUAAUUUCGCAAUUCUUCCUUCUUUAGACCCCUAUUACUUUUUGCAUGGAGAGAUUAUUCAGUUGAAAGCCCUUGCUAGCCGAGGAAAACUUGAGAGGCAUCUUACGUCACAAUGUCAUCAAUAGCCUAAAAAAACUGUGCAACUCUCUUCCCCAAAUUGAUGCAUGUUUCACUGUUAGAGUCAAAAUUGACACGCCCCAUCUUAACCACUCGUGUUGUCAUUUUUUCAAAGAAAGCAAACCAACCAAGUCUUCUCAAUUACGCGUGUCCUAAACCAAUCCAGCCGCCUGUCCCACCGUUCUGAAAGUAAAAAAAUCAACCAACUUAUCCUCAGAAAUUGAUCAAUCAUGGGUCCAUUUGAAUUGAUGUUAUUAUUGUUGAAAUUAAAAAUUGAAAAUACUGUAACAAAAUAAUUUUUAAAUGUGUAAAUAAUAUUUUGAGACUCAUUUUUAAUGAAAAAUUGUUAAAAAAUAAUAUUUGUAGGUCUAUAAACAGUAUACAAAUGUACUGUUUACCGUGGAAAAGUCAGCCUUUGCGGCUGAAAAAAAAAAAAAAAAAUUCUCUCUCUCUCUCUCUCUCUCUCUCUUACUUUCUCACACUUUCCCUCAGUUUCUCAGACUUUCUUUUACUGGGAUCUUGAGUAGUGCUUUGUGAUUCAAAUUGUGAUAUUCACUGUAACUCAGUUAUUUCUUACUGAGAUUUUCUUCAUUUUUCACUUUAAGAUUGGGGUAGAGUAUUAUUCCCUUGUACCUCUAGACAAAGAAUCUUGAUUAUCACACACACAUAUAUAUAUAUAUAUAGACACACACAGCAUAUACUCAGUAGUGGAUUUUUGGACUCUUUUUAGUUAUGAAAUCACAUAAAUUUUAAUUAGACGAAAAAAACAUGCCUCCGCUUAUUCAUUGCAAGAUGGAGUAUCUUUCUUUUAAUUUUUUAAAAGAACACUUUCAACUACAAGUGUCUAAAUGAUUUUUUAUUAGUAUGCCUGAGUUUCUUUAUUGAACGGGGACUACUUGAUUUAGGGUUUUUUAUUUUUUAUUUUUAGAAAGUACUUGAUUUCGUUGAUAGCUCAGUAAGUAAACUUUUAUUUUAUUUUAUUUUUAUUUUUAUUUUUAUGGGAGCAUAGUUAGUAGAAUUCUUUCUUUUCUUAGAGAUAAUUAUAACAUGUUUCUAAUCUCACAGGAACUCUUCCUCCUUUAGACGCCAGGCACUUUGUGAUGGAGAGAUGCAUUCAGCAGCAAGGCCCUUGCUAGCCAAGGAAAACUUGAAAGGCAUCUUACGUCACAAUGUCAUCAAUAGCCUAAAAAAACUGUGCAACUCUCUUCCCCAAAUUGAUGCACGUUUCACUGUUAAGAGUCAAAAUUGACACGCCCCAUCUUAAACCACUCCUCUGUUGUCAUUUUUUCAAAGAAAGCAAACCAACCAAGUCUUCUCAAUUACGCAUGUCCUAAACCAAUCCAGCCCCCUGUCCCACCGUUCUGAAAGUAAAAAAAUCAACCAACUUAUCCUCAGAAAUUGAUCAAUCAUAUAAAAAUUGAGGUCGACAAGAAAUGAGUUUUCCUAUAAAAUAACCUUCCAGCUCUUUACUCACGAUAGUCAUAUCUGCUUAUUAUCUCACUAGAUAUGAUGAAGUGGUUAAUGUGGCUCUCUCAAAUCUUGUAUCUCUUUCUGCUCUAGAAUUCUGAAGUUACAUCAUCAUCUUUUCUCUCCUCUUCUUCAGCAUUACUGUGCUCCCAAUACCAGAGCUCUGCGUUGCUCCAAUUUAAGCAAUUGUUUUCAUUUUCAGAAGAUGCUUCUUCCGGUUGUGAUGAAGUUGGUCAUCAUUCUUAUCCAAAGAUGGAGUCUUGGAAGGAUGCCACUGAUUGCUGCUCAUGGGAUGGAGUUACUUGUGACAGUGUGAGGGGGGACGUGAUUGGCCCUGACCUCAGUUGUAGCUGGCUUUAUGGCACCAUCCCUCCCAACAGUACCCUCUUUCUUCUUUCUCACCUACAACAUCUCAACCUCGCCUUGAAUGACUUCAAUUCUUCAUCCAUUUCAUCUCGGUUUGGUCAAUUUGCUAGCUUGAGUUACCUCAACCUUUCUAACUCUGCAUUUUCUGGCCAGGUCCCAUAUGAAUUAUCUCAAAUCUCCCAAUUGGCCUCGCUAGAUUUAUCCAUCUUUCAUCUUAGUCUAGAAACCUCUGUUGUUAAAAGGCUUGUUCAGAAUUUGACGAAGCUAAGAGACCUUCAUCUUGAUUUUAUUGACAUGUCUUCUGUUUCGCUUACUUCUUUCAUGAAUCUCUCUUCUUCUUUGAUGUCCCUUUCUCUCAAAAGUUGUGAAUUGCAAGGGAGGUUACCGGAUAACAUUUUCCGACUACCAAACCUACGUGAGCUGAAUCUAUUUGAUAAUUCUGAACUCACGGGGGAUUUUCCAUUGUCAAAUUGGAGCAAUCCCCUAAGAUCCUUGGAUUUAUCUAAGACGGCUUUUUCAGGAGAAUUACCGAAAUCAAUUGGCAAUCUAAAAUUCUUGAGGCAAUUGGUAUUGAAUGGAUGCAAUUUUACUGGAUCAGUUCCUGCAUCUGUUGGUAACCUUACACAACUCACUCUUUUAGAUAUAUCAAAUAACCAUUUUAGUGGUGAGAUACCAUCAUCACUGUCAAAUCUCAGAGAGCUCUCUCGCUUGGAUCUAUUUAACAACAAUCUUAGUGGUAAGAUCUCAUCAUCACUUUUAGUUGGCUAUGCAUAGUUCUUGGAAAUCUUUUGAAUCUCAUAAAAUUGCAAUUUUGCAGGACCAAUACCCGCGUCACUUUCAUUCCUAAAGGAUCUCACUCUUAUUGACCUCCGUCAAAACAACUUUGGAGGUGAAAUUCCCGAUCUUUUUCCCAACCUCACAAAACUCACGGAUGCUUACAUGUCUGAUAACCAGCUUACUGGUAACUUUUGUGAAUUCCAGUUUGGCAGUUCAUUACAGUUUCUUACAUUAGAUAAUAACAGGCUAUAUGGCUGUAUUCCAAAGUCAAUCUCCAAUCUUGUGAACAUUUCAGAACUUGAUAUUUCAUCAAAUAACUUGAGUGGCAUUGUGAAUUUUGAAAUGUUCACAAAGUGGUUGUGA
rnacentral:sRNA from 1 species